rnacentral:lncRNA from 1 species
AAGCAUCUCAGCUGCCUGAGAGGGAAAUUGAGGCCUAAACAGCCAAAGUGGCAAGCCUUCUGAUCAUGGUGCCCAGUGCAGCGAUCUCUGUCACCAAACUGACAGCCUCUUUGGUUAAUAUUACAGUUUAGGAGAAGAAGUUCGACAGCUUUUCUCAGGUUGAAAAGAAAACAAAACAGAACGAUUUAGUUUGUCCAGCUGCUGUGCUGAGUUACCUUAAAGGCUCAGGUGGUGACAGCAGCGUGUUCAAUGACCUGGAUUUAUUUAUUGCCUAUUUUUAUUGUUACAACCUGGCCAUUCAGUGUCUGGCUCUCAGGGUGACCUGUGGACAUAAUAAGAAUCCAUCCCAAAGGAAAUAUUCUCAGUCAACCAGCCUGGUUACUCUACAUGGAAAUCAGUUGAGAAGAACUAAAACUCUAUCUUUGCUUUUCAGACCGCACUGGGGUCGUGUCUACUUUGGUAUUUUCCUGUGUGGAAGCCUCAGCGGAGUUCUGUUCCUUCAGGAUUCUACCUCCAUGCCAUGUUGACUCUGAAGGGAAGUUGAAAGCAGUCUGUCAAGAAGUGACUGAUGACUGAUGCACAACACAUGGAAAGAGAAACGUCGACCCGAUGGGUUGCUCCAGAUUAAUGACCUAGAGGUGGCAAGGGACGUUUACACGGCCUCUGAUGCGCCCUUUGCUGUUGCCAUGCAACAAUAUGUCACAGGCUGAUUCACUCAUCUCACUGAAUAAUGAAGUGUCUCUGCAGUAAAGAAAAACC